UUACACAUGCAAGUCGAACGGCAGCGCGGGGCAACCUGGCGGCGAGUGGCGAACGGGUGAGUAAUAUAUCGGAACGUACCCUGGAGUGGGGGAUAACGUAGCGAAAGUUACGCUAAUACCGCAUACGAUCUAAGGAUGAAAGUGGGGGAUCGCAAGACCUCAUGCUCCUGGAGCGGCCGAUAUCUGAUUAGCUAGUUGGUGGGGUAAAGGCCUACCAAGGCAUCGAUCAGUAGCUGGUCUGAGAGGACGACCAGCCACACUGGAACUGAGACACGGUCCAGACUCCUACGGGAGGCAGCAGUGGGGAAUUUUGGACAAUGGGCGAAAGCCUGAUCCAGCAAUGCCGCGUGAGUGAAGAAGGCCUUCGGGUUGUAAAGCUCUUUUGUCAGGGAAGAAACGGUGAGGGCUAAUAUCCCUUGCUAAUGACGGUACCUGAAGAAUAAGCACCGGCUAACUACGUGCCAGCAGCCGCGGUAAUACGUAGGGUGCAAGCGUUAAUCGGAAUUACUGGGCGUAAAGCGUGCGCAGGCGGUUUUGUAAGUCUGUCGUGAAAUCCCCGGGCUCAACCUGGGAAUUGCGAUGGAGACUGCAAGGCUAGAAUCUGGCAGAGGGGGGUAGAAUUCCACGUGUAGCAGUGAAAUGCGUAGAGAUGUGGAGGAACACCGAUGGCGAAGGCAGCCCCCUGGGUCAAGAUUGACGCUCAUGCACGAAAGCGUGGGGAGCAAACAGGAUUAGAUACCCUGGUAGUCCACGCCCUAAACGAUGUCUACUAGUU
rnacentral:rRNA from 1 species